UACGAGGGGGGCAAGCGUUGUUCGGAAUUAUUGGGCGUAAAGGGCGCGUAGGCGGUGCGGUAAGUCUGAUGUGAAAUCUCCGGGCUCAACUCGGAGUCUGCAUCAGAAACUGCCGUGCUCGAGUGUGGGAGAGGUGAGUGGAAUUCCCAGUGUAGAGGUGAAAUUCGUAGAUAUUGGGAAGAACACCGGUGGCGAAGGCGGCUCUCUGGACCGAGACUGACGCUGAGGCGCGAAAGCGUGGGGAGCAAACAGG
rnacentral:rRNA from 1 species